rnacentral:rRNA from 1 species
UACGUAGGCAGCAAGCGUUGUUCGGAAUUACUGGGCGUAAAGAGUGUGUAGGCGGUGCGCUAAGUCUGUUGUGAAAUCUCCCGGCUUAACCGGGAGGGUGCGGCGGAAACUGGAGUGCUUGAGGGUGGGAGAGGUAAGCGGAAUUCCUGGUGUAGCGGUGAAAUGCGUAGAUAUCAGGAGGAACACCUGUGGUGUAGACAGCUUACUGGACCACUUCUGACGCUGAGACACGAAAGCGUGGGUAGCAAACAGG